GAGACCAUACAUUUCUGAUGUCUAAGCUGCCCAGUCUGUGGCAGUUUGUGACCUCAGCCCCAGGAAACCAGUACAAAGAGCUUAAGGAGCUGAACCCAGGGAGUUGGGCAGCAAGGCAGCACCAUGCUGGCGGCAGGGGUUGGCUCCCCCAGGGCACAGAGGAUGCCCAGUGGGGAGGCCCCACUUCCUCCAGGUCCUGCGGUGCCUGCUCUCAGGUCAUGCCCAUCCACAGCGGGGUGCUGAAUGCACUGCACAUCCUACAUACGCCAAAACGGCCAAGGCGUGCACAGGACUCAGCAUCAGGCUCACUGCUGCUAGGAAGUGCCACCGCCAAGGGUACAGGAGGCUGGGAGAGACAUGCAGGCUCAUUUUCAUCUCCAAACACCCCAAACAGGAAGCCUAGAGAGACAACCACAGAUGCAGGGCAUCAGCCUCACGGACGCCUGGGGUCCCACGCAGACGCAGGGCAUCAGCCCCACGGACGCCUGGGGUCCCACACAGACGCAGGGCAUCAGCCCCACGGACGCCUGGGGUCCCACGCAGACGCAGGGCAUCAGCCCCACGGAUGCCUGGGGUCCCACGCAGACGCAGGGCAUCAGCCCCACGGACGCCUGGGGUCCCACGCAGACGCACGGCAUCAGCCCCACGGACGCCUGGGGUCCCACGCAGACGCAGGGCAUCAGCCCCACGGACGCCUGGGGUCCCAUGCAGACGCACGGCAUCAGCCCCACGGAUGCCUGGGGUCCCACGCAGACGCAGGGCAUCAGCCCCACGGACGCCUGGGGUUCCACGCAGACGCAGGGCAUCGGCACCAUGGGUGCCCGGCAUCCCACCCAGUUGUGAGGCACCAGCAUCAAGGAUGCCCAGGGUCCCCCCAGACACAGGGCAUGGGCACCACAGAGACGCCUGGUGUCCCACCCAGCCCAGGGUGGCUUUCAGCCAAGCCUCCCCAAAUGAUCCAUAA